rnacentral:rRNA from 1 species
UGCGUAGGGUGCAAGCGUUGUCCGGAAUUAUUGGGCGUAAAGAGCUCGUAGGCGGUCUGUUGCGUCGGCUGUGAAAACCCGGGGCUCAACUCCGGGCCUGCAGCCGAUACGGGCAGACUAGAGUUCGGCAGGGGAGACUGGAAUUCCUGGUGUAGCGGUGAAAUGCGCAGAUAUCAGGAGGAACACCGGUGGCGAAGGCGGGUCUCUGGGCCGAUACUGACGCUGAGGAGCGAAAGCGUGGGGAGCGAACAGG